CAAUCACUCGAUCAAUCACCUGAUCAAUUGAUCAAUGUCUAUACAGCAACUCUAAUAUUAUAUUAAACAAAUAAUACAAAUGACUAUCUGUCUGUCAUUCUAUCUAUCUAUCUAUCUAUCUAUCCAUCCAUCCAUCACGCCAAACUUUAAAUCUCUCUUUAAAUAACCUUCAGACUUUUUCCGAAUUUUUAAACAUGCUAACAUUCAAUGCUCAUUUUGACAACCUUUCCUAUUUUUUCUUUUAAUUGUUGAGCUUAGUGGGCCUGUAAAUUAUUCAUGCAGUGAAUUAUCUGAAAGACUUUCAUUCAACAGAACAAAACAUCAAUUGAAUCAAUUCACACAGCAAAAAAAAAAAAAAAAAAAUGGUUUGGGAAACCAAAAAUCAAACCAUCCAUUAUCUCUGUAAAAUUUUAGAUAACAAGAAGCAUGCUUGCUGAAAAGCAGAAGCGGCGAGCAGGAAAGGGAAGUGAAAGUUUGUCAUGCGUUGGACGGUUUGGACUCUCACUUCUCACCUCCAUUUACUGCCCUUUCGUUCAGCUUGCAAGAAACGCGGACCUAAACCACCAGGCGCGACCCCUGUGGAGGUACAAUUAUAGGAAAAGCGCAUGUGCUUGACGAGUAAACGGGCGAGGCUCUUUGUGCAAUGAUGGCCAGUUUUUUCUCCCUUUCGAAUUAGUCCGUCAUUAGACCCUCUGUGACUAGAGAAAAACACUGCACAAGAAAAAGAUGAAUGUGUUUUCAAAACAGAGGGAAAACAGACAAAUGGAAGGGGUGGUGAUAAAGAAUGUCAUUCAAGCUGUGUGGUGUGUGGCCACACAUUCAGACUGAGUUUGAGUGGUGCGCGAACCGUCGGGGGUCCCUUUCACAGGUGAAGGCCCCCUGUUGGGACCCCCAUUAUGUCUGUGUCUGCAAAUGGAGAACAAUAUACACAAAGCCGACAAAAGAGAUGGCAGAUAGGAAGUGUCAAACAAGGACAGGGGUUUAAAGAGCUGCCGAUUUUCAAACUGCCAUCUCGAUGGGUGCUAAUUACCGCAGGAAGAGACGAGGGAUGUAAAGACAGAUGCCACUUUUAUGCAGAGAUGCUCAUUUAGACUGAAUGAACGCUAAACCUACUAGUAUUAACAGAGCCAGCGAGACUGGCAUGGUCAAUGAGUGUGUGCUUGUCUGUGUUAUCUCAAUCCAGUGUUUUCUUUUCUUUGUUUCGUGUUUGUUUCAUUAAUGCAGGUCCAUAGUCGUAAGUGUGAAUUGACCCGAUCCAGCCCAAAACUCCCAUGGCCCUUGUACACACUCGACUAAAUCGGAAGAUACUGCACUUCCUUCCAUCUACUGUCUAUUGAUUCAGAUAUUGCCAUGUUGUCUGCCAGGGCUCUUAGGCCUCUGAGCGAGAAGUGUGUUUUUAUGUCCUGUCUUGAGAACAGACACUCGAUAAUUGUGAUUAGAUUACAUUAAAUUAACAUACCUUGUCAGUAUCUGCUUUGCCUCUUGCUUUGUAGACUAUCGCCAUUCAUAUUUAUGUUUUUUUAUACAUUUGAAAUCUAUUUUAUUUUCUACUUUAUUUCUUACAUAUCUGUUAUGAUUAGCUAUUUUGUGAUUAUUUUGAAGUCCUUUUAUGUAAAUCACUUUAUAUUACUUUUGUGCAGCCUAUGAAAUGUAGUAGCCUAUAUGAAUAAACUUUGCCUUUAAAAUCUUGAAUAAAGUCCUUGUUAACAGCUUCGAAGUUAGGUGUGAAAUUCGUUGCAGAAUCAAUCCAGUCAUAAGCUUUAUGUCGAAUGUCACGAACAAACAAACAGGAUAAUAGGUCUUGUCACUUUGGCUUGUCGGAGAAAGUGUUCACAGCAGUAUGGAUGGCGAUAUUGACUUUUAAAGUAAUCAGCUAACCUAGUUUUUGUUGAUGCCAUUUUAUUCAAUUUUAAUAUCCAAAAGUUAAUAAGAAUAAAAAACUUUUAGAUAUCAAUCUGCAUGCGAUGGACGUUGGUUAUGCUCAUAUUUGUUUGCACCUUUGAAGUCAUCUUAAGUAGCUAAAACAGCUUUAUAUUUAAUGAAGCGCAUACAAAAGACCUGAACCGGAAGCGAUGCAACCCGUUUUACAGAAUAAGGAAGUUUGUUGCACAUAACCCCCUUCCCUAGGAAUCCGUGCGAUCAUAAGUUUUGGUUGAGAGAGAAAUGGUUCCCAAUGCAGAUUUCGCUCAUGUUCACGCGAAAUCGUCUCAUUCACCAACAGGUUUGAAAAUGACUUCUGUGUGGACCUUCUUCCUUGCAAAAUCUCUUCGAAAUUUCUCGAAUGUGACCGCAGCUUUAAAUUGUUAUUUUUAAAUGCUGGUAACCCUUAUACUAUCAUGCCAUUAUUGUUUUCACGCAACCAAACAAAAAGUAUUAUUUAUUAUAAUUUCAAAAAUGCACCGUUUCCUGUUGGUUGCGCGCUCUUUUGAACGGCCUGUUUCACACAGAGUCAUUUCUACAAGAUGGCGUCAAGCGUUUCUGCAGCAAACAGAAGAUAAUUUGAUUUCCGGUUCGUUUUUUGCGAUUUAAUAACGGUCAAAUUCAUGAUUAAUUUACGCGGAACUGAACCCAAAGCAUAUCUAUAAAACACUCAAGUCAACUGAAUUCAGUCAGAUUUACCGACUAGAAAGUGCUGUUUUGUGCCUGUCCCUGCGUGUGGCAUUGAUGUCUUGUUUCAAAUAACAGGCAGAGAGAGAGAGAGAGAACGCUACUGAGCAUGUGCAGAACCUCAUCUCUUCGCGCCAGACGUUACGCUACUUUACAUGCUGUCUGUAGAAGAGAACAAUGCACAAGGAAAGCAUUCGUCAGGUCACCAGCUCAGCAGCGACGUAGAGCAAGACAUGAUUGUCAAAUCCUUCGACAGUAGUCUGGAUCGACUCCUAAAAGUUUAUCGUGUCCAUCCUCGCUAGAUGAAGUCGGUGUGGAUGACGAUGUCCCCGGUGUGUCGGUGGAACUCUGCACAGGUGACCGGUUCCCCACUUCCGUCCGGC